GAAAAGGUCAGGAAUUUUGUUCCACUAUUAUUUGGAUACUUUCUCAUCACUGGCCAUUGAGUAUGUAGAAAACGUAAACCAAUUUCCAAUGUACCUUUAAGUUCAGUGCAACAAAGCUAUCCUCAGCAAAAGAAUAGGUAUAAGAUGUAUUCCAAGUCCAAAUUGUGCUUUACUGUUGAUCUUUUUUUUUAUUAUUGAGUUUUUUUUCUUUUUCAUUAAUACUUUAAAUUUUCAAAAGCCCCAGUUACAUGAAAGUGGUAGGUCAGGGUAAAGAAAAUGCACAGAGAUGAAAGAUACAUGAUGUCCUCAGGACCCUCUGGGAAGGCCUCAUAGCCAAUCUUCUCCUCAGCAGACAAAGACCUGGAAACUCAAAGAGAACAACUGACUACUUAAGUUCUACAAUUCUCUUAUCUUAGGGGAUCUUUACAUUUUUUCUUCCGACGACUUCUUUCUUCUUCUACAAAGUAUCUUACUAGCUAAAUAUAACAGUUAUCGCGCUCAGGUUAGGGAAAAAAAAACCCUAUAAUACAGGCAACAGAGAUGGGAAGGAUCUCGAUCGCUGCAUUCUCAUUUCUCAUUCUUUCUUUUUGAACAGAACCGAAGAUGCAAUUCAGCAGAACAGAGAAGCCUGGGGAAAAACCCGUUCUGAAGUCACAGCAGUAGAAAACUGUGAGCUAAAUUAAGAUAAAAUGAAAAAACAGGGAGUGACAAAAAAUAUUGCAGACAUCAUGAAGAUUAUCCACUCAUCUUGAAGAUUAACAGAAAGUGUUUCUCAACAGAUAGUCUUCUGACUCACCACCUGCAUUGUAAUUACCUGAUCUGCUUCUCAAAAAUGGAGACGCCUAGGAGAGGACCUCAUCUGAUUUUCCCUAGACUUUCACAGGCAGCUGAUCUACAAGAUGACAUUUUUUGAUAUCUUCCAGGAUUAAAAUCAAUGCUCAUCACCAGAAUGGAAAUGUUUCUGUCAAUUUCCAGUUAUUCUUAUGACUACAUUCAGUGUUCGUACAAACAUGGGUGACCAGAAGCAUAGACGUCUUCCCAUUGCAUAGUUAGCAUGGCG
rnacentral:lncRNA from 1 species